UUAUAAACCAUGGAUCUAUAGAUUAUUUACAAAAAAAUAAAUAAUCCAGGGAUGGUUUAUAAACCAUGAAUAGAUUAUUUAUAAACAAUCCAUAGAUUGUUUGCACGAGCCAAAUGUAAAAAAAAUAUGGAGCCCCCCCAAAUGUAAAAUAUAGAGCUGGCUACAGGAAGAAGCAUGGGUACGAUUUUGUGUGUUCCGGAGGGAAGGGCGACAAGCAAUCAUGCUUCAGUCUACUUUAGUUGCCAUAUUAAAAAGCAAAGUAAACUGUGUAAUAUUCCUCAGUAUUUGCUGAUGGCAAACCAGCAGUAUUUGCUGAUGGCAAACCAGCAUUAAAUGGCGAUGAGAGCGAUAUAGUCCACGGCGAUGAGAGACUGAUGGCGAAAGACGAGAUUGAUGGCAAAAGUUUGGCAAGAAGGUAUUAAAACAUAUAUCAGUGAUAUACGAUAUAUACAACUCCUUUGUCUUCAUUCCCUGUUCCCUGACCCUGUUGUCUGGCAAAUGAAUCAAAGGUUCAACAGAUUUUCUAGCUGCAAUUAGAGUUAACUUUUCUUUGUUGGUACUGGUGCUUC